rnacentral:misc_RNA from 1 species
AUGUAGUACAGUCUUCCAGAUGUGCUGGGAAUAAGAGCUAUCAAAGAACAUAUGAGCAUGAGUUUCCUCCCUGCAGAUGCACUAAGAACACAAUCCAAAUGUGUUUAGUAGCCUUUGGUUGUAACAAUCGAACAUCAUAAUCUGUUGUGCUUAUGAAACUGUGUUUUUAGUGAAUUUAGUCAAAUUUGAAUAAUCCGAAUAGGCUUAACUCAUAUAGAGCUA